GAUGAAGAACGUAGCGAAAUGCGAUAAGUAAUGUGAAUUGCAGAAUUCAGUGAAUCAUCGAGUCUUUGAACGCGCAUUGCGCCCCCUGGUAUUCCGGGGGGCAUGCCUGUCCGAGCGUCAUUGCUGCCCUCAAGCACGGCUUGUGUGUUGGGCCCCCGUCCCCGGUUUCCCCCGGGGACGGGCCCGAAAGGCAGCGGCGGCACCGCGUCCGGUCCUCGAGCGUAUGGGGCUUUGUCACCCGCUCUGUAGGCCCGGCCGGCGCCAGCCGACACCCAACUUUAUUUCUAAGGUUGACCUCGGAUCAGGUAGGGAUACCCGCUGAACUUAAGCAUAUCAAUAAGCGGAGGA
rnacentral:misc_RNA from 1 species